ACGGAGGGUGCGAGCGUUGUCCGGAAUCAUUGGGCGUAAAGGGCGCGUAGGCGGCUCAAGCAGCGUGUGGUGAAAGCUCGGGGCUCAACCCCGAGUCGGCCGUGCGAACUGUUGGGCUGGAGUGCUGUAGAGGCGGGCGGAAUUCCGGGUGUAGCGGUGGAAUGCGUAGAGAUCCGGAAGAACACCGGUGGCGAAGGCGGCCCGCUGGGCAGUGACUGACGCUGAGGCGCGACAGCGUGGGGAGCAAACAGGA
rnacentral:rRNA from 1 species